GUAAUUUGGAGAGGGCAACUUUGGGGCCGUUCCUUGUCUAUGUUCCUUGGAACAGGACGUCAUAGAGGGUGAGAAUCCCGUGUGGCGAGGAGUGCGGUUCUUUGUAAAGUGCCUUCGAAGAGUCGAGUUGUUUGGGAAUGCAGCUCUAAGUGGGUGGUAAAUUCCAUCUAAAGCUAAAUAUUGGCGAGAGACCGAUAGCGAACAAGUACAGUGAUGGAAAGAUGAAAAGAACUUUGAAAAGAGAGUGAAAAAGUACGUGAAAUUGUUGAAAGGGAAGGGCAUUUGAUCAGACAUGGUGUUUUGUGCCCUCUGCUCCUUGUGGGUAGGGGAAUCUCGCAUUUCACUGGGCCAGCAUCAGUUUUGGUGGCAGGAUAAAUCCAUAGGAAUGUAGCUUGCCUCGGUAAGUAUUAUAGCCUGUGGGAAUACUGCCAGCUGGGACUGAGGACUGCGACGUAA
rnacentral:rRNA from 1 species